GGAGAUAUAGCUCAGCGGCAUAAGCGCCUGCCUUGCAAGCAGGCAGUCGUGAGUUCGAUCCCCAGUACCG
rnacentral:tRNA from 1 species